GAUGAACGCUGGCGGCGUGCUUAACACAUGCAAGUCGAGCGGGCAAUUUAUCUAGCACUGAUUACUUCAAAUGGAAAUCAUAAGUGUAAUCAUGAAUUUCUACCUUUAAUAAAGAAAAAGAAAUUCAUGUACGCAAAUAGUGAUAACACAUUUUAGUGGAGUGAUGAGUGCUGGAUAAAUUGCUAGCGGCGGACGGGUGCGUAACACGUGGGUAACCUGCCCCUAUCACUGGGAUAACACACUGAAAAGUGUGCUAAUACCAGAUAAUAUAAGCUUUUGGCAUCAUUAGCUUAUCAAAGAAUUUCGGAUAGGGAUGGGCCCGCGUCUGAUUAGCUAGUUGGUGAGGUAACGGCUCACCAAGGCAACGAUCAGUAGCCGACCUGAGAGGGUGAUCGGCCACACUGGAACUGAGACACGGUCCAGACUCCUACGGGAGGCAGCAGUGGGGAAUAUUGCA
rnacentral:rRNA from 1 species